rnacentral:rRNA from 1 species
AUAACGAGCCAGCGGACGGCCUUGCUCAUCUGCUCGAGGCGGACGGCGCUGAUUGGCUUGAUGCCGGGGGCAGCCAGCGAGGCGGAAGAGGAAGAUCCCGUGGCCUCGUCGACGAGACACUCGGAGCCGAUGCGCUGGCGGAUGGACUCAACGAGCUCCUCGGCGUGGUCGCAGGAGACGCGGAAGAGCUCCCAUCGCUGCUUGAAGGCUUCAAGCGCCGCGUCUGUGGCUGCCGUCUUCUGGCCGCCCGACUGCUCGCGAGCUUCCAUCACGGCCACCGCAGCCGCCACGAACUCCUUAUACGCCGCGCUCAGCUCGUCGACCGUCGCGUCCAUUCCGCCGCCCGAACGUUUCUUACGCAUCAUCCGACACGCUCCGCUGACGCUAUAA